GACAAAGAAAUAUUGAGAAAAAAGAUAUUCAAGGAUAUGAUUAAGAGCAUUUUUAUUGACCAAAAUGACAUAUCUUUCUUAGUCUUCCUUCCCCCUAUGGAAAAAAAACUAAAAGAAGACAUGCCAAUGUACAAGUUACAUCAUAAUUUAUGCAUUAUUCCCUGAACAUGACUUAACUCAGUUAUCCUCUGUGGUGAACGCUUAUUCUUGUUCCUUGGGGUUAAUUCUAUUGACAGUUGCACACACAUCAUCGGCUACUUCAGUUUUUUCGACAUCUUUUGGAGUUCCUGGAGCCGAGCCAUAUGCUUCUUCCCUGUCCUGUGUGACUCCAUUGAUUUCUCA
rnacentral:lncRNA from 1 species